rnacentral:ncRNA from 16 species
UCCGUAGGUGAACCUGCGGAAGGAUC